UCUCAAAGCUGAGAUGGUAAAGAAUCUGCCUCUAAUGCAGGAGACCCAGGUUCAAUCCCUGGGUUGGGAA
rnacentral:tRNA from 1 species